rnacentral:rRNA from 1 species
UACGUAGGGUGCAAGCGUUGUCCGGAAUUAUUGGGCGUAAAGAGCUCGUAGGCGGUUUGUCGCGUCUGCUGUGUAAGACCGGGGCUCAACUCCGGUUCUGCAGUGGGUACGGGCAGACUAGAGUGAUGUAGGGGAGACUGGAAUUCCUGGUGUAGCGGUGAAAUGCGCAGAUAUCAGGAGGAACACCGAUGGCGAAGGCAGGUCUCUGGGCAUUAACUGACGCUGAGGAGCGAAAGCAUGGGGAGCGAACAGG